AAUAUGCUUCCGGCAGGCUCAAUGGGGAUUGUAACGUGUGGUAGUGCUAACCUAAUUCCUUCGGUGUAUUAGAAAGAAAAUAUGGGUGUGCAUUGUUGUGUCACCGGGUGCAACAGUGUCUCCUGCGACAAAAACAAAAAGGGCGAGGAAAACUGGACUCACUUCUCACCGUUUUUCUGCAUGGAGGGCCAAAUAUCAGAUCACGAAGGCACGACGGAUGGCUGGGUUGCAGCGGUUCGUCGGAAAAGCAUUUCUUUUGAUCAUAUUUCUGCUGGAAUGAGAGCGUGUUCCCGUCAUCUCUACUCUUGAAAACCUGCAUAUGAAAUGCUGACAACACAUCCCGAUUGGUCACCAUAUCUCUUCUUGGGUUAUUCUGAGGUCAAGCGCACCACAUCGGAGCGUUAUGAGAGGUUGGAAAGGCGAAGAGUGCACGCUGAAACUUCAGUUUGCUCUGCUCUUACAAACACGAUCCCAAGUGUUGUUGUGAAAAGUCAAUAAAAUAUGAAUACCAAAACAUGACUUGAACAACUUCCUGACAAACUGUAACUGCUUGUUGUUUACUUCAGGUCUUCAUAAUAAACAGGUGUAAUAAUUACAAAGUCAGGUGACUUAAUUUUGUUAUUCUAUUUGGAAUAUGCAUUGACAAUGUGUGGACAGUGUUGUAGACAAGAACUGGGACUGAUAAGUUGCAAUAGAUUUAUUUCAAGUAAUGCAACUUCUCCAAUACAAUAUUUGAGCUGACAGUUUAAAAUCUUUAAAUUAGUGCAAACAAGGCCCACCCUCUGAUAGGGUCAGCAAAUAUUAUAUAAUUAUAAUAUAUACAAGUUUAACAUAAAUGUGUCUUUGUCAAAGCAGUUUAAAAACUAUUUACUGGCCUUGGGUAAAUUGCCAGACAGAAUAAAUAUGUGGUUUAAAGUUCUUGCAUUUCCAUUUUAGGUAUUGCAAGUUCUCCAACACAAUAUUUGAACUGACAGUUUAAAAUCCUUUUAGUGCAAAAUGGCCCACACUCUGACAGGGGGUAGCAAAUAUUAUAAUACAUAAUACAUUAUAAAAAGCUAUAUACUAUAUAAAUACAAGAUCACAACAAAACCUGUAUUUUUCAAAGCAGUUAAAAAAACAUUCAGUGGCCUCAGGUAGAUAAAGGUGUAUAAAUAUGUACAUUACAGUUCUUGCAUUUCUAUUUUAGGUAUUGCAACUUUUCCAACACUAUUUGAAUUGACAGUCUAAAGUCUACAUUAGUGCAAACAAGAAUAAUUAUAAAUAAUAAUAGAAUUUAUCAAUUCAACAUUACAAUGAAACGUGUCUUUGUCAAAGUGGUUAAAAAAAACAACACUUCACUGGCCUUAGUUAAAUAGCCAGGCAGAAUAAAUAUGUGCAUUAAAGUUCUUGCAUUUUCACAAGUUAAAAGCCCGCAGUUUAUCAGCAAGAAAGGCAGACCCAGACGACGUCUGCUGCAGGGGCUUGUUUGAUUCCGACACAAGACAAAUGGAACCACUCAAUUGAACAAAUUUUCUUUGUCAAAUAAUCCAAGAAGAGAGAUGGUGACCAAUCGGGAUGUCUUGUCAGCAGGUUUACCUAGUAACACAACAGCAGAAAUAUGAUCAAAAGAAAUGCUUUUCCGACGAACCGCUGCAACCCAGCCAUCCGUCGUGCCUUCGUGAUCUGAUAUUUGGUCCUCCAUGCAGAAAAACGGUGAGAA